rnacentral:lncRNA from 1 species
CCGGGCCGAGGGGCAGGACCCCUGCCCGAGGCCGCCUUCCGCCGGAACCGCCUCCACUGCCUCCCGCUGACUGUCUUCUCUUCGCGCCGCAGCCCGAGGGAGCCGCCGGCCCCGCCAGGAUGUCUCUCCUCAGCCCCCCGCGGGACGGGCGCAUGGGCAGCGUCGCCCGCCGCCCUCAGCACCUCGGCCUGCCGCCCCGGCACCCCUGGCAGCCCCAGGCACUCAGGGUUCCAGGCCUGCAGACGCCCAGCGAGAGCCCAGCCCCGCAAGCAGCAGGCAGAGCCGGGACAGGGGCCGCGCCCAGGCAGCCCCUCAGCAUCUCGGGGCUGCUGCAGAGGCGGCGUUAGGCAAGUGCCGCUCGGAAAGCGCCUGCUUCUCCGGGAGACGCGCACGUGCGGGAACGGUUCUUCAUGCGUGUGACUCGGGACGGGGGGCGUUCUCCAGAGCUGUGCUGCUUUCCUUUCAUAAUUCGGUGAAUUUUAUUAUGCUCGUGGUUGCACAGCCAUCCUCACAACCUCCCUUGGGGACAUGUCCACGCCCAGUCCCCGCCCACCCUCCCCACCCGUCGAAGUCCGCAGCUCUGUUUCUGGCCUGCGGAGCAGCUCAUUGCAGCCUUUCCUUACAUGCCACGUGCAGGUGGAAUCACGCCAUGCGGGGCUCUCCUGGACGGACUUCGCUCUCACUUAAUACGAUAGUUUCUGGGUCCUCCGUGUUGCCGCAAAUGCCGCUAUUUCGUGCGUUGCGUGGCUGAGUGUGUGCCACGUCCUCUGAGUGCUUCCCGAGCUCUCCGCUGCUGGGGCAGAGCCCAGCCUCUGUCCCACAGGUCUGCCGGCCUCCGGGGACUUGCACGCGACAGACGAGCCGGCUCCCGCCCCGCGUCUGCAGCCAGCGCACCGACGCGCCCGCACCACACCCCACGGGACGGCACCUUUUCUGGACGGAGCGACACAGCAGGACGACGGAAUAAAGGGUUUUUCUGACUCGGGCCA